rnacentral:rRNA from 3 species
CUGGAGAACUGAGGGGGGCUGCUCCUAGUACGAGAGGACCGGAGUGGACGCAUCACUGGUGUUCGGGUUGUCAUGCCAAUGGCACUGCCCGGUAGCUAAAUGCGGAAGAGAUAAGUGCUGAAAGCAUCUAAGCACGAAACUUGCCCCGAGAUGAGUUCUCCCUGAGACUUAGAGUCUCCUGAAGGAACGUUGAAGACGACGACGUUGAUAGGCCGGGUGUGUAAGCGCAGCGAUGCGUUGAGCUAACCGGUACUAAUGAACCGUGAGGCUUAACCUUACAACGCCGAAG